rnacentral:rRNA from 1 species
UACGUAGGGGGCUAGCGUUGUCCGGAUUUAUUGGGCGUAAAGAGCUCGUAGGUGGUUCGGUAAGUCGGAUGUGAAAUCUCCAGGCUCAACCUGGAGGGGUCAUUCGAUACUGCCGUGACUAGAGUUCGGUAGAGGAGUGUGGAAUUCCUGGUGGAGCGGUGAAAUGCGCAGAUAUCAGGAAGAACACCAAUGGCGAAAGCAGCUCUCUGGGACGGUACUGACGCUGAGGAGCGAAAGCAUGGGGAGCGAACAGG